CCACAGUAACUACAUAAUAAACCAUGGGUUAACUAUGGUUUUUGUAGUAAAACCAUAAUAACUACAUAAUAAACCAUGGUUUUACUAUGUUUUUUGUAGUAAAACCAUAGUAACUACAUAAUAAACCAUGGUUUAACUAUGGUUUUAGUAGUAAAGCCAUAGUAACUACGGAAUUAAUCAUGGUUUUACUGCAGUAACCAUGAUUUAUCUAUAGUUUUUGUAGAAAACCAUAGUAAUUGCAAAAUGAACUAUGGUUUACCACAGCAUUUUUAGUAGAACCAUUACAAAAUAACCCAUGGUUUUUCAAAAGUAUUAACUACAUAUUUAGUUAUUUCUUACUCUUAAAAAAAAAUAGGGCUCAAUAAAAUAAUCAUAAUUAAUCUCAUGAUUUCUGAAAAUGAAACAAUCAAAUUUGGCAAAUGUGUUGUCAGUUAUUACAAAAAAUACACUCUUAAAAAAUGGUUAUUUGGCAGGGUGUAUGGUUCCAUGAAGAACCUUUAAUAUCCAAAAGAACCUAUCCAUUGCACAAAAGGUUCUUUAGACUAUAUAAUGGUUCUUCACAAUCAACAUUUUUGUAAAUAUUUUUUCUGGAAAGUGAGAUCAAGUGAGAUAAAUGUUCCUAGCUGCCUGGUCCAGAACUCAUUCCAGACUCAUUUUCUUUUAGUUGUGUUCAAUUAAAGCUCAAUAAAGUAUUAAUUUUUAGUUAUAAAUAGUGUUUAAUUAAAAAAACACCAGUAGAUCAGUCCUUUUAUACUUUUUACUCCUAUUUUAAUGCUGUUUUGCAUGACUCAAAAAAUGUAUUAUGCUUAUUUAGCAAAAGCAAAGUUUAGUAUAAAAAUCAUGUUUUAAAAUGAAAUAAAAAGACUGAGUGAUACAAAUCUUAAAAUAUAAUUUAUUUAUUUUUUAUUUAUUUAUCCCACUAUCAUACAUUUUGCACCAAUGUAUUGGUCGUAGAACUACAAAAUGAGUUUCAAAUUCGCGAUUUAAAGAAAGAUUUUAAGAGGUUUAUGAAUGCUGCAUGACCGUGACGUGUUUAAAUGGACUCGAGCGCUGAAUUCGCGCGCUCAUUCAAAAGCUGCAGCUGAGGGAGUUGCCAUGGAAACGGUGCGCAACACUGUAACUGACGAACAGUAAAUCUCCGUCUCUCCUGCUGUUUUCACUGCUUUCAGGUGAGUUUAGUCCCUAAAAUCACACAAAUAUCACAUAUAACUGUUCCAGACACUUUCUUACAUGUAACUGACAUGUUUCUGUUGAAUAUUUACUUCACAGAAAUGUUUUACAGUCUUCGAAAAAGUCUGCUAGCAUCUGUUUUCAGAUGAGGAGUGAUAACAUAAUCUUUCUACAAAGGAAGAGAAGCUCCAAGAUUUUAAAAUUUCUGAAGGGAGCUGCUGACAGAAAUGCAGAAAACACAGAUUAUGAUGGCCGUGCUGCAGAGGAGCGCAGAGUCUCCUGUCGGACAACAUCUCUAAGUUGCUAUGUACCAUGUUACUAGAUCCUAUGUACCCAGCCUCAACCAUUCAUCAGAAGGACUGUGAAAGCAGGAACUCUUUGAACCACCAGUGGCAGUUUCCACGGGAUGAUAAAGGGCAUAGUAGUGGAUGAUGAGGUCCUGAGACCAUAUGGGGUGAAGAUCAAGACAACCAAACCAAAGGUGGACUGUAACCUACUGGACUAUAUGAUAGACUUCAUACUGACCACUACUGCCAUGUAUGCAGCAUGAAAAGUUUUUGAAAAGAGGGGCAUUUCCUUCACCAAGUAAAAGUGUGGAGGAUUCAUCUGGCCUUCAUCGGCCCCCAUGAGGUGACUCGAUGUAGAAUAAAUCAACUUGCUUUAGGCUUGAAAUGACUGAAAUCUUCUCAUGUGAGUUGAUAUCAUUUUAAACAUUCUUUAAAGUACUUCUCAUUUCUUGUGAAUGUAUUUUGUUGUAUGUGUAAAACUUUUCCACUGAAAGAACCUUUUUUACCUUCAUUGAUAUUGUAAUCAAGGUUGUUAAUGCGACCUUGAUGCACCCGAUGAUACUGCACACAAAAGCCUGUGUUGGGCUUGUGUUUACAGGUUGUAUAAAACUAGGCCUGGCUGCAACAACUAAUCGACAAUUAAAAUAAUCAUCAACGAAUUUGAAUAGUGCAUCCAAACAAACAGACCGCUCAUAAUUCUGACUAAAAUACACAUUUUGCUCAAAUAUUUUUUUGCUAGAAAUUAAGUGUAGGUUUAAAACCCUACAUGUAACACAAGUAAUCAUAUUUAUGAGAGCAGUAACAGUAAAGGCACUAUUGUUGGAACUGUCCAUUAAUAUAAUAUAAUAGCUCUGUUCAGACGAAUGAUUGUUUGUUCCUCGUACCUCUUACAAGUUAACAUUGUGUUUUUUUGUUUAAAUUGUUUUAAAUUCUGUUUCAAAAUAACAAGCAAUCUGUUGUUUUUAGGUUUAGAAUGUAAUGUUUGUAUUUUAACACUUUAAUGCUUAUAAUGAACAGCAGAGCCUACAUAGAUACAUUCAUUAUUUGUUUUCAUAGGCAGGAUGUGAAAUGACAUUCUUUAAAAUAAUGGAUUAAAAUUAUUUUAAUUAAAAAAUUAUGUAUAUAUUUUAUUUAUUUAUUUGUCAUCCAAUUACUAGUAUUAAUAAAAAAAAAAAAUCUACAAAUAAAUUGGUUAUCCAAAAAAAAUUGUUAGUUGCAUGCAGCCCUACAAAAGAUAUUGUUAAAGAGGUCGGCGGUAUAAUGUUAUGUGUGAACACGAAGUCAUGUUUAUUUGUACAACAUGUAAUUAAUUUCUAUAGAGAUAAUGCAUUAUUACAGUGAAACAAUUAGCUAUUUUUAUUUUGUAAAUUAGCAGAAAACCAUCUCUACCACUGCAGUGCUUUAUCACUAUUUUUUAAAUAAAGUUAUAGUUCAUAGUUCUGAAUCAUUUUGACAUGUGACAACAAUAUUUUGUUUCAGAUGAUGUAACUGCUAUAAUAAAGCCUGUAUCAUAGAAUAGUAGUUCUAUGUAGUAAAACCAUGGUAUCAGAACGGUAUGCACCAAAAAACCACGGGUACUACAGUCAUGGUUAACUACAGUUUUACUAUAGUAAAACCAUGGUUAAUUUUCGUAAGUGAAUUGAUGAUACAGUAAGCCUUAACCAU